UACGAAGGGGGCUAGCGUUGCUCGGAAUCACUGGGCGUAAAGCGCACGUAGGCGGACUCUUAAGUCAGGGGUGAAAUCCUGGAGCUCAACUCCAGAACUGCCUUUGAUACUGGGAGUCUUGAGUUCGGGAGAGGUGAGUGGAACUGCGAGUGUAGAGGUGAAAUUCGUAGAUAUUGGGAAGAACACCGGUGGCGAAGGCGGCGACCUGGUCCGAUACUGACGCUGAGGCGCGAAAGCGUGGGGAGCAAACAGG
rnacentral:rRNA from 1 species